rnacentral:rRNA from 1 species
AAUGAACGUUGGCGGCGUGGAUUAGGCAUGCAAGUCGAACGCUUCAUGUAGCAAUACAUGAGGAGUGGCGUAAGGGAGAGUAAUACAUAGUUAGCUGCCCUCGGGUCUGGGAUAGCGGCGGGAAACUGCCGGUAAUACCAGAUGAUAUCUUCGGAUCAAAGGUGUAAUUUCGCCCGAGGAGGUGACUGUGUCCUAUCAGCUUGUUGGCGGGGUAACGGCCCACCAAGGCUAAGACGGGUAUGGGGCGUGAGAGCGUGCCCCC